AGUAACGCGUAGGUAACCUACCUCAUAGCGGGGGAUAACUAUUGGAAACGAUAGCUAAUACCGCAUAAGAGAGACUAACGCAUGUUAGUAAUUUAAAAGGGGCAAUUGCUCCACUAUGAGAUGGACCUGCGUUGUAUUAGCUAGUUGGUUAGGUAAAGGCUCACCAAGGCGACGAUACAUAGCCGACCUGAGAGGGUGAUCGGCCACACUGGGACUGAGACACGGCCCAG
rnacentral:rRNA from 1 species